rnacentral:rRNA from 1 species
AGCGAACGCUGGCGGCAGGCUUAACACAUGCAAGUCGAGCGGGCAUCUUCGGAUGUCAGCGGCAGACGGGUGAGUAACACGUGGGAACGUACCCUUCGGUUCGGAACAACUCUGGGAAACUGGAGCUAAUACCGGAUACGCCCUUAUGGGGAAAGGUUUACUGCCGAAGGAUCGGCCCGCGUCUGAUUUGCUAGUUGGUGGGGUAACGGCCUACCAAGGCGACGAUCAGUAGCUGGUCUGAGAGGAUGAUCAGCCACACUGGGACUGAGACACGGCCCAGACUCCUACGGGAGGCAGCAGUGGGGAAUAUUGGACAAUGGGCGCAAGCCUGAUCCAGCCAUGCCGCGUGAGUGAUGAAGGCCUUAGGGUUGUAAAGCUCUUUUGUCCGGGACGAUAAUGACGGUACCGGAAGAAUAAGCCCCGGCUAACUUCGUG